rnacentral:tRNA from 1 species
CAGGGAGACAACAAAAUGUUUAAUAUUAUUAUUUUGUCACCUUAGGUCGAUCGGUAUCUCACGUUCUUUAUUUGUUAAGAAUUUCAUUUCCUAAGUUUUUCUAGGUCACACCCAUUAUUUUUCCUGGGCCAUUAGCUCAGGUGGUUAGAGCGCACCCCUGAUAAGGGUGAGGUCCCUGGUUCAAGUCCAGGAUGGCCCAUAUCUCUAUGUUGGGGGUAUAGCUCAGUUGGUAGAGCGCCUGCUUUGCAAGCAGGAUGUCAGCGGUUCGAGUCCGCUUACCUCCACUGAUUACCACCUCUUCCAUAAUCGGUAGAAAGGAAAUGUUUUGAGUUGUGAUCAUUAUUCUGAACGAAUCUAGCUUCCUAAUGAAAUCAUUAAGAUGCUGGACUCAUUGAAUUAAUUUCAUUGUUUUCAGAGAACCUUGACAACUGCAUAGAUUAUUUUUAAAGACAAUAAGCAUCUUUAAUGAUGCAGAUUUAUUAUUUGUGCGAAUGCAUUAAUAACAAUUCUAUUAAGCUGAUGCUUCAAUUUUUGAAGUUAUU